CCUACGGGUGGCAGCAGUGGGGAAUAUUGCACAAUGGGGGAAACCCUGAUGCAGCGACGCCGCGUGAGUGAAGAAGGAAUUCGUUAUGUAAAGCUCUAUCAGCAGGGAAGAAAAUGACGGUACCUGAGUAAGAAGCCCCGGCUAACUACGUGCCAGCAGCCGUGGUAAUAAGGAGGGGGCAAGCGUUAUCCGGAUUUACUGGGUGUAAAGGGAGCGUAGACAGCAGUGCAAGUCUGGAGUGAAAGGCGGGGGCUCAAACCCCGGGCUGUUCUGGAAACUGUACGGCUGGAGUGCAGGAGAGGUAAGUGGAAUUCGUGGUGUAGCGGUGAAAUGCGUAGAGAUUAGGAGGAACACCAGUGGCGAAGGCGGCUUACUGGACUGUAACUGACGUUGAGGCUCGAAGGCGUGGGGAGCAAACAGGAUUAGAUACCCUGGUAGUC
rnacentral:rRNA from 1 species